AGUGGGAUAAUUGGGUUAAAUAGUGGUUCCAUUCCAAGUUUUCUGAGGAAUCUCCAUACUGCUUUCCAUAAUGGUUGCACUAAUUUGCAGUCCCACCAGCAAU
rnacentral:pre_miRNA from 1 species